GACGAACGCUGGCGGCGUGCUUAACACAUGCAAGUCGAACGGAAAGGCCCUGCUUUUGUGGGGUGCUCGAGUGGCGAACGGGUGAGUAACACGUGAGUAACCUGCCCUUGACUUUGGGAUAACUUCAGGAAACUGGGGCUAAUACCGGAUAGGAGCUCCUGCUGCAUGGUGGGGGUUGGAAAGUUUCGGCGGUUGGGGAUGGACUCGCGGCUUAUCAGCUUGUUGGUUGGGUAGUGGCUUACCAAGGCUUUGACGGGUAGCCGGCCUGGGCGGGUGACCGGCCACAUUGGGCCUGGGAUACGGCCCAGACUCCUACGGGAGGCAGCAGUGGGGAAUAUUGCACAAUGGGCGGAAGCCUGAUGCAGCAACGCCGCGUGCGGGAUGACGGCCUUCGGGUUGUAAACCGCUUUCGCCUGUGACGAAGCGUGAGUGACGGUAAUGGGUAAAGAAGCACCGGCUAACUACGUG
rnacentral:rRNA from 1 species